ACUUUGCCUGGGAAUUUCUCUACUUUAAAAUUUCAGUCAUUGUUUCUGGUCGUGUGUGUGAUGUGCAUCCCCAUCUAAAAACAGGAAGGAGAUCCAGUCGGGAGGUUGAAUGGAUACCUGUUGGCUUUUUUUUUUUACAAAAUCAGCUCAGAUUAUUAGCAAUCUGCCUGUUUACUGUUGGGAUGUUGAAUCAUCCCUGGAAGCUACAGAGCAGCAACCACAUGGCAGUAGGCCUCAUCUUCUUCUUAUGGUUCUGCUACCCAAAACAUCUAAUGUGCAUUUUGGAUGUUCUCAUUAAAAAUACAAGACUAAAUCCUGUCUGAUCUGAGCGGCAGUAGAACACUUAGUGUUCACAGAGAUGUUAAACCUGCAGUAGUUUAGUUGUCAUAUCCCACAGCAGGACAUGGCUGUGGUGUCACCACAUGCACACAAACCUGCAGUAAUGUCAGGUGGCUCAAUUUAAUUAAAAUUCUGACAGAGGUGUGGAGAAAAAACAACUUCCAGCAAAUGAUGGCGGUAAACACCUCAUACAAGGAAAUGAUUGAUCACAUUUGCACACAUUUCCAUCCUGUGUGUGGACAUGCAUCCAAGAAUGAAGCUAUUUUUAUUUUUGUGUCUUAUUAAAGGCUCUUAUUGGUGCAAAUGUUGCACAUUCUGCUUAUCUAAUUGUUGAAAUAAACUCACUGUCAUGUAUGUCUGGGCUUCACUCAUUGCAAUGCAUUACAGACACCGGAGGGUCUGCACACUUGUUAAAUCAGGUUUCUACAAGAUGUUUAUAAUGUGAAGCUGGAAGAAAAUGAAAUGUGGAAAUAACAACGGAGUCAGUUAAAUACAGUUUGUGUGAAUCAGAAUCUCAGCUCAGUUUGGACUGGUAGUUUUGUGUGGAGCUGGAAGCUUAAAACAUACAAACUCAUGAGGUUUUCUCUGCAAGUGAGUAAAGGAAAUUGUUCUAGAUAGGCGCUUUCAAAGUCAAUUUUCAGCAAGGUUUAGGAAAAGAUAAAAGACUGGCUUUUUGUUCUGCUCUGAUUAAUUCUAGGAUGACUUUAAAAUGAAUGCAUUAGGAUAUUAGCUGCCUACUUAAGGGAGCUCAUUGUCUCAUAAGUCAAUGAUUAUUGACUUAAAAUGCAGCAGCCAUGUUGGAUUUUGAGAUCAGCUCAACCUGCAACUUUUCGUCUAGGAAAAAACAUCAAAGUAUUACUGUUUUAAAAAUGUUUGCCGGUAAGCUGGAUCCUCCAAGUCUUGGCUUUUACAGUCUACUUGUUAUAAGAAAACAAGAACCACUGGUCUGGAAUUUGCCUUAACACUACAAGGCCCAAAGCCCAACCAUUUGGCUGUAGUAGUGAGAGCUGCUGUAAUAAACUUAUUUGAACUUC